rnacentral:piRNA from 1 species
UUCGAUGCACGCGCAUGUACC